rnacentral:rRNA from 1 species
UAUUGCACAAUGGGGGAAACCCUGAUGCAGCGACGCCGCGUGAGUGAAGAAGCGCCUCGGCGCGUAAAGCUCUGUCAGCAGGAACGACGAUGACGGUACCUGAAGAAGAAGCCCCGGCUAACUACGUGCCAGCAGCCGCGGUAAUACGUAGGGGGCAAGCGUUAUCCGGAUUUACUGGGUGUAAAGGGAGCGUAGACGGCGGGGCAAGUCUGGAGUGAAAGCCCGGGGCCCAACCCCGGGACUGCUUUGGAAACUGUGCUGCUGGAGUGCAGGAGAGGUAAGUGGAAUUCCUAGUGUAGCGGUGAAAUGCGUAGAUAUUAGGAGGAACACCAGUGGCGAAGGCGGCUUACUGGACUGUAACUGACGUUGAGGCUCGAAAGCGUGGGGAGCAAACAG